rnacentral:rRNA from 1 species
UACGGGGGGGGUAAGCGUUGUUCGGAAUUACUGGGCGUAAAGGGCUCGUAGGCGGCCAACUAAGUCAGACGUGAAGUCCCUCAGCUUAACUGGGGAACUGCGUCUGAUACUGGAUGGCUUGGAUUCGGGAGAGGAAUGCGGAAUUCCAGGUGUAGCGGUGAAAUGCGUAGAUAUCUGGAGGAACACCGGUGGCGAAGGCGGCAUUCUGGACCGAUAUUGACGCUGAGGAGCGAAAGCCAGGGGAGCAAACGGG